AGCAUGUGAAAAUAUGCUCCACAUUUCAAUCAAGAGGGAAAUGGAAUUUUAAACCACAAUGUGAUACUAGAUAUUUCCAUUCAGUAGAAUGGCUAAAUGGCUAAAAUUAAAGACUCACUGUAUCCAAGUGUUAGUGAGAAAGGGGAACAACUAGAAUGCUUGAAAAAUGUAAAAUGGAACAGCCACUGUGGAAAACAGGCCAUCAGUUUACUUUAAAGGGUAUGUAUAAAAACAUACACUCACGACAUGACCUAGCAAUUCCUCUCCUACUUUUAUACUUGAAGAAAAUAAAAGCACGUGUUCACACAAAGAGGGUGUGUGUGUGUGUGUGUGUGCGCGCCGGCGCGCACAGAAUAUCCACAGCAACUUUAUUCAUAAAAGCCACAUCUGGAAACAACCCAAGCGUCCACUAGUAGGUGAAAGGAUAAGAAAACUUGAGGCAUAUUUAUACAAAGGCAUACUUCUCAGCAGCAGAAUGGACUCAACUACUGAAAAACAGAACAACAAAGAAGAAUCUCAGAACAUCAUACUGAGUGAAAGAAGCCAGACAGGACUAUUGGCUGUUGGGGAUGCAAAUCAAGUCAAGAUGGGGCCUGGCAGUUUGCCA
rnacentral:lncRNA from 1 species